rnacentral:rRNA from 1 species
UACGGAGGGUGCAAGCGUUGUUCGGAAUCACUGGGCGUAAAGCGCGUGUAGGCGGUUGGGUAAGUCAGAUGUGAAAGCCCCGGGCUCAACUCGGGAAUUGCAUCUGAAACUGCCCUGCUAGAGUCCCGGAGAGGAAGGCGGAACUCCCAGUGUAGGGGUGAAAUCCGUAGAUACUGGGAAGAACACCGGCGGCGAAGGCGGCCUUCUGGACGGUGACUGACGCUGAGACGCGAAAGCGUGGGGAGCAAACAGG